CACGUAGUUAGCCCCCCCGGGGCUUCUUAGUCAGGUACCGUCAUUUUCUUCCCUGCUGAUAGAGCUUUACAUACCGAAAUACUUCUUCACUCACGCGGCGUCGCUGGAUCAGGGUUUCCCCCAUUGUCCAAUAUUCCCCACUGCUGCCUCCCGUAGGAGUUUGGGCCGUGUCUCAGUCCCAAUGUGGCCGUUCACCCUCUCAGGCCGGCUACUGAUCGUCGCCUUGGUAGGCCGUUACCCUACCAACAAGCUAAUCAGACGCGGAGCCAUCUUACACCACCUCAGUUUUUCACACCGGACCAUGCGGUCCUGUGCGCUUAUGCGGUAUUAGCACCUAUUUCUAAGUGUUAUCCCCCUGUGUAAGGCAGGUUCUCACGCGUUACUCACCCGUCCGCCACUAAGUUACCAACAUUUCCACUCUUAGCAAGCUAAUCGCUUCAAAAAUGAUAACUCCGUUCGACUUGCAUGUGUUAAGCUACGCCGCCAGCGUUCAUCCUGAGCCAGGAUCAAACUCUCUA
rnacentral:rRNA from 1 species